rnacentral:rRNA from 1 species
AUUGAACGCUGGCGGCAUGCUUUACACAUGCAAGUCGAACGGUAACAGGCCUUCGGGUGCUGACGAGUGGCGAACGGGUGAGUAAUGCAUCGGAACGUACCCAGAGGUGGGGGAUAACGCAGCGAAAGCUGUGCUAAUACCGCAUGUGAUCUGAGGAUGAAAGCGGGGGACCGAGCAGCAAUGUUUGGCCUCGCGCCUUUGGAGCGGCCGAUGUCGGAUUAGCUAGUUGGUGGGGUAAAGGCCUACCAAGGCGACGAUCCGUAGCUGGUCUGAGAGGACGACCAGCCACACCGGGACUGAGACACGGCCCAGACUCCUACGGGAGGCAGCAGUGGGGAAUUUUGGACAAUGGGCGCAAGCCUGAUCCAGCAAUGCCGCGUGCGGGAAGAAGGCCUUCGGGUUGUAAACCGCUUUUGGCAGGAACGAAACGGUGUCCGCUAAUACCGGGCGCUAAUGACGGUACCUGCAGAAUAAGCACCGGCUAACUACGUG